rnacentral:rRNA from 1 species
GGACGAACGCUGGCGGCGUGCCUAACACAUGCAAGUCAACUUGACUGAAGGAGCAACCUGACAGUAGAGUGGCGCAAGGGUGCGUAACGCGUAAGUAACUUGCCCCAAGGUAAGGAAUAACGUCGAGAAAUCGGCGCUAAUACCUCAUAAUGCAGCGGAUCCGCAUGGAUAUGUUGUUAAAGGUUUACCGCCUUGGGAUAGGCUUGCGUCUGAUUAGUUAGUUGGUGUGGUAACGGCACACCAAGGCUACGAUCAGUAACUGGUCUGAGAGGAUGAUCAGUCACACUGGAACUGAGACACGGUCCAGACUCCUACGGGAGGCAGCAGUGAGGAAUAUUGGGCAAUGCUCGAAAGAGUGACCCAGCAACGCCGCGUGGAGGAUGAAGGUAUUCUAUAUCGUAAACUCCUGUGAGAGCAGACGAAAGACAGAUUAUUAAUCUGGAUGACUGUAUGCUCAGAGGAAGCCCCGGCUAACUACGUG